AUACGUAGGUGGCAAGCGUUGUCCGGAAUUAUUGGGCGUAAAGCGCGCGCAGGCGGUCCUUUAAGUCUGAUGUGAAAGCCCACGGCUCAACCGUGGAGGGUCAUUGGAAACUGGGGGACUUGAGUGCAGAAGAGGAAAGUGGAAUUCCAAGUGUAGCGGUGAAAUGCGUAGAGAUUUGGAGGAACACCAGUGGCGAAGGCGACUUUCUGGUCUGUAACUGACGCUGAGGCGCGAAAGCGUGGGGAGCAAACAGGAUUAGAUACCCUGGUAGUCCACGCCGUGAACGAUGAGUGCUAAGUGUUAGGGGGUUUCCGCCCCUUAGUGCUGCAGCUAACGCAUUAAGCACUCCGCCUGGGGAGUACGGUCGCAAGACUGAAACUCAAAUGAAUUGACGGGG
rnacentral:rRNA from 1 species